AUAAUUUUCAAGAUCAGAUGAAGCGGGAGUUGGCCUACAGAGAAGAAAUGGUUCAACAAUUACAAAUUAUCCCCUAUGCAGCAAGCUUGAUCAGGAAAGAAAAACUUGGCACACAUCUCAGCAAAAGCUAAAAGCAGGACCACAAGAUCCUCUUGUAAGAUACUACCCAUCACUCUGCGUUUGGAUGUAUCUGAAGACUGAAAAUGGAAGGACCUUGAGUAUUUAAGAAAAACAACAAGGACGAAAUAAAAAUGGAAACAGCUCUUCUAAGGACAAGCGGCCUCAAAGCUUUAUGGACAACCAUGUACAUUAGAAAGUAGCAGCCAUUUAUUAAUUUAAAAAACAAAAGGAAAAUUUAAAAACUGGAAAGAAGUCUUGGCUCUUUUUGAUGGUACCAAAGUUUGGUUCGGUGUUUUAGAAGGACUCCUGAAUGUGAUAGAAUGUGAAAAGGCUGUGGCCAUCUGGAUCGACCCAGGCAAAGGAUCUCCCGGUGCUUCCGACUCCAAUGCCAUGAAAACGUCUGAGAGUUUGGUUCUUCUCCUUUUGUAGAACGACUCCUCUACAGAGUGUGGUCUAGGCAGACGUGGGGGAGAGUGACCCCUGGAUGUAUGGAUGGAAAUGCAUUAGCCAUAUCCGGCGCUUUCUGAAAGCAGACUGGAAAUUACAAGAGUGCUCACAACUUCCUUCUAUUUCCAGGCUCUCUCCUGGUACUUUGCUUGCUGUAUGAAUGAAGACGAUACUCUUCCGGAAAUAUUUUACAAUGUAUGAUUGAGUGUAAUUAAAAAAUAUAACCACUCAGACUAAAAACAAAGGUAUUUAACUCUGUUGUAGUUUCUUUAACAUUCAUGUGGAUUAAAAACAAAGUCUAUA